rnacentral:SRP_RNA from 1 species
UUUCGGGACCUGUGCGACGGUCUCCUGUGAACCAUGUCAGGCGGGGAACCGAGCAGCAUUAAGCAGUCUUGACUGUGCGCCGCAGUAAUUCUGGAGGCG